rnacentral:rRNA from 1 species
AUGAACGCUAGCGACAGGCCUAACACAUGCAAGUCAGGGGCAGCACAAGGAGCAAUCUGAGGUGGCGACCGGCGCACGGGUGAGUAACACGUAUGCAACCUGCCUGUAAGCGGGGAAUAACCCGUUGAAAGACGGACUAAUACCGCAUAAUACUAAAUUACUGCAUGGUAAUUUAUUUAAACAUUUAUGGCUUACAGAUGGGCAUGCGCAUGAUUAGCUAGUUGGAGAGGUAACGGCUCCCCAAGGCAACGAUCAUUAGGGGUUCUGAGAGGAAGGUCCCCCCACACUGGUACUGAGACACGGACCAGACUCCUACGGGAGGCAGCAGUGAGGAAUAUUGGUCAAUGGACGAGAGUCUGAACCAGCCAAGUCGCGUGCAGGAAGAAUGUUCCCUAUGGAUUGUAAACUGCUUUUGCAGGGGAAUAAAGUGCAUCACGUGUGAUGUUUUGUAUGUACUCUGCGAAUAAGGAUCGGCUAACUCCGUGCCAGCCGCCGC